UCUCACUAGACAUUAGUUUAAUACUACAUUAUAAACAUGGACGCCUUUUCUGGAAGCUGGAAACUUGUGAAAAGUGAAAACCUUGAUACGAUGAUGGCAGUACGUGUACGGUGAACCUGGAAGAAGAAAAACUCAUCCAUGUACAGCUCCAUGAGGGUCGGAAGUUCACAACUGUCCGAGAGAUCCAGGACGAGAAAAUUAUUGCGACUGGGACACGUGAAGAUGUCACAGCAGGAUUUACAUAUGAGACGGUGUAAAUGUUGGACAAAAUUCCAGCUGUUUCAUUGCUUCUUUGUCACUGAUCUGCAGGAUGAAAAUAUAUUUCAAACUAUGAGCAAGAAGAAGAA